AAAGAGCUCGUAGGUGGUUUGUCGCGUUGUUCGUGAAAUCUCACGGCUUAACUGUGAGCGUGCGGGCGAUACGGGCAGACUUGAGUACUGCAGGGGAGACUGGAAUUCCUGGUGUAGCGGUGGAAUGCGCAGAUAUCAGGAGGAACACCGGUGGCGAAGGCGGGUCUCUGGGCAGUAACUGACGCUGAGGAGCGAAAGCGUGGGGAGCGAACAGGAUUAGAUACCCUGGUAGUCCACGCCGUAAACGGUGGGUACUAGGUGUGGGUUUCCUUCCUUGGGAUCCGUGCCGUAGCUAACGCAUUAAGUACCCCGCCUGGGGAGUACGGCCGCAAGGCUAAAACUCAAAGAAAUUGACGGGGGCCCGCACAAGCGGCGGAGCAUGUGGAUUAAUUCGAUGCAACGCGAAGAACCUUACCUGGGUUUGACAUGCACAGGACGCCGGCAGAGAUGUCGGUUCCCUUGUGGCCUGUGUGCAGGUGGUGCAUGGCUGUCGUCAGCUCGUGUCGUGAGAUGUUGGGUUAAGUCCCGCAACGAGCGCAACCCUUGUCUCAUGUUGCCAGCGGGUAAUGCCGGGGACUCGUGAGAGACUGCCGGGGUCAACUCGGAGGAAGGUGGGGAUGACGUCAAGUCAUCAUGCCCCUUAUGUCCAGGGCUUCACACAUGCUACAAUGGCCGGUACAAAGGGCUGCGAUGCCGCGAGGUUAAGCGAAUCCUUUUAAAGCCGGUCUCAGUUCGGAUCGGGGUCUGCAACUCGACCCCGUGAAGUCGGAGUCGCUAGUAAUCGCAG
rnacentral:rRNA from 1 species